CCUACGGGAGGCAGCAGUGAGGAAUAUUGGUCAAUGGACGAGAGUCUGAACCAGCCAAGUAGCGUGAAGGAUGACUGCCCUAUGGGUUGUAAACUUCUUUUGUAUGGGAAUAAAAUGUUCCACGUGUGGGAUUUUGUAUGUACCAUAAGAAUAAGGAUCGGCUAACUCCGUGCCAGCCGCCGCCGUAAUACGGAGGAUCUGAGCGUUAUCCGGAUUUAUUGGGUUUAAAGGGAGCGUAGGUGGAUUGUUAAGUCAGUUGUGAAAGUUUGCGGCUCAACCGUAAAAUUGCAGUUGAAACUGGCAGUCUUGAGUACAGUAGAGGUGGGCGGAAUUCGUGGUGUAGCGGUGAAAUGCUUAGAUAUCACGAAGAACUCCGAUUGCGAAGGCAGCCCACUGGACUGCAACUGACACUGAGGCUCGAAAGUGUGGGUAUCAAACAGGAUUAGAUACCCCAGUAGUC
rnacentral:rRNA from 1 species